ensembl:snRNA U6 U6 spliceosomal RNA
GUGCUCACUCUGGCAGCAUGUAUACUAAAACUGGAAUGGCACAGAAGAUUAGCAUGGCCCCUGCGCAAGGAUAACAUGCAAAUUCAUGCAAUGUUGCAUUAUUUU